rnacentral:lncRNA from 1 species
CUAAACCGCAGCAAUGGGUAUCUAUGGUUUUAUUUGUAAAAGUUCUUUAUUGAUAUAUUUCAGUCAAUAAUGCAAUUCAUCAAUUUCACUCACACUACAACAUUGUUAAUUACUCCUGUACAGGAUACUGUUAAAUAUAUGGAAAACCAGGUGCAAAAAGCCGGUGUCAGUGUUAAAAAGUUCUAUUCAGAAGUCUUGCAAGAUUUGAUUCCUUCAUCAUGUGCGAAAGUAGCUGCGGAUGACUUGUCUAUGUACCCUUAUUCUCGCACUGAUAUCAAUAGGAAGCUAAAACCAUGCUUAACAGAGAACUGGGGAGAGGUUAAGAAUAAAACAACUGAGGAUAAAGUUAUUCAUGCCAUGGACACGUGGAAAAUAUCUCCGAUAAUUGGACUUGAAGAUGUAAACCAUCUCUCACCACUAUCUUCUGGAUUUCCUGUCCAAAAUGCAUGCUCUGAGGUCUAUUCAGCAAAAGACAAAAAAAUGGGCAUCUAUAAACGUCGUCCGAUUGGCAUCAAAAGAAUUUCUGAGAAAAAUCAUUUGUCAAAGAUAUCUGAACCAAUGACUCCGGUAUCAGCUGAAAAGAACUCAAGUGACGUGGAAGCAAGUACAGAGUUAGUCUCACGGGAAAGAUGUGAUUCUGGAGAAACAGUGAAUAUGAAUACACAGAUCUUUGAUCCUCCAAUUGAAUCUGUGGCUUCUAAUACAAUCCUAUCAGUUGAUCCUGUCAGGCGAAAGGAUGACGAUGCUCAGUGCAUCUCAUCUUGUCAUGACUUGCCCUCAGAAUCUAUUGGUAUUUAUUCGUGGAUGAGUUUUAGUGUGAAUCCUUCUUUCUUUCUCUAUGUGCGGUAUGAACAUUUUGCCCUUCGAUAGGUACAUCCAUGAAUGGUGGUACAGGGCUUCAAUUAGGUUCAAAUAUUCAGAGUCAUGCAUGUAGUGCUGAAUCUGGUGGCGAGGAGGUUACAUUGUCUGAUGAAGGUAUGUGUUUUUCUUUAUUUUAUAGAUGGAUAAUAUAAAAGAGCUCUUUCAUUGUCUUUUUGAUUAAAAAAAAAAAGGAACCUAUGAGUUACUUCGGUUGUUGACAAAAUUCUUGGUUCUUUCGCGUUGCUCUAAUUAGUUACCCGUGUAGAGAAAACAAUGAAUGCAUUAAGAAUUACAUUCAAUUUUAAUGAGUUCAAUAUGGAACUUUUUGUAGGAAAUAACUGAAGGAAAGAAUUUCUUUUAUAGUGUCAACAUUGUUUCCUUCCUCAAAUGGAGUAAAAAAAAAUUGAAAACCAGUAUGCCAAAUGUUAGAAAUUUUAGGUUCCUUGUGCUCGCCACGAGACAGCUCUAAAGAUGACCAACACCGUAAUGAAUUGUAAUUCCUUGAUUACGCUUGGAGGAUGUAGUAAAGUUACAAUGGAUGCAUGAAGAAUUGUGAACAAUGAUAACGAGUCUAAUAUGGAACCUUUUUUGAACUCAAAUACUGAAGACAGAAUUUCCUUUAUAGUGUAAAUAUUGAUCCUUCCCUCAAAUGGAGUAGAAAUGGAAACCCAUUUUACAAAUGCUAUAAAUUAUAGGUUUCUAUACUUGCAUUUGACGUAUAACUGCAUAAAAAUAAUGUUAAUGAAUCUUAUUUCUUGAUUUUCCCUUUGGCAUGUUGUUCUGAAGUAAUAUCACGUGUUUUUCAAAAUAUGUGGAGGCCAUUAUCAUGCUUCCAUUCUCGUUCUCCCUUUUCUCUCUCACAUACGAACAUACAUUGACAGAGAGAGAGAGAGAGAGAGAGAGAGAGAGAGAGAGAGAGAGAGAGAACCCCAAAAGGGCUUGGAUGUACCCACGUUAACAAUCUGGUGCAGUAGGAUCUCAACCGUUUCAUUCUUUCAGCCUGAUUCUUACGAAGAUCGCAUUUUUCUUUUCCAAUUCUUUGUUGCUGUAGCCGCUAGAGUAAAUUCAUAUAACAUCGAUAUGGAGGUUGAGAAUGCAGUCCUCGUUGAGCCUGGAGUGGAUAUCAUCAAGCGAGUUACAAAUACAAAGUUGGAGGAGUCUUGCAUUUUAGUGGAAGGGAAUGAGAUUCAUGUUGUUCCACAAGGCAUAGGCAAACAUAAAUCAUACAAGGUACUCUCUCUCUCUCUCUCACACACACACCAGAUAUAAAUCUGUAUGUAUGUGUAUAUGUGUGUAUUUUGUUUCUUACCGAGUAGUUUCUCUCAGAAAAAGAUAAGCGAAGCUCUCUCAACAAAAUUGGGAUUAAGAAAGAAACAAGAGUAUGCCCAGUGCAUUCCCCAGUCUAGAUAUUUAGGUGGAACGGGAAGUACAGAGAUCGUGAUUCCUGAUCGUACCCCGGACUUUGAGGAAAAGAAAUUGCCAGCACAAGAUUUUUGCGAAUCCGACUGGGAGUUCCUGUAGAUAUUCUGCUGCAAGUGAUGCUGCUUUCCCUAGAGACAUAUAACUGGUAAUGAAGAUGCUAUCUUGAUAUGUCAACGGCAGCCAAAUGUAUCAUAGUUGAAAUCAUAUUAUAUAUGGGAUGAAAAAUUGUGUAUUAAUGCUUGAAAAGCAAUAUCCUAUGAUACACUUAAAAUCUAAGCGUUAAGUAGUUUGUGGCCGAUUUUUAGUAUUUGUAUCUUACAUAUAUGUCACUCUCCUGGAUAAGUUAUAAAUGAAAGUUCUGGUUGAUAUUA